rnacentral:rRNA from 1 species
UACAGAGGUCCCAAGCGUUGUUCGGAUUCAUUGGGCGUAAAGGGUGCGUAGGUGGCGCCGUAAGUCGGGUGUGAAAUUUCGGAGCUUAACUCCGAAACUGCAUUCGAUACUGCGGUGCUUGAGGACUGGAGAGGAGACUGGAAUUCAUGGUGUAGCAGUGAAAUGCGUAGAGAUCAUGAGGAAGACCAGUGGCGAAGGCGGGUCUCUGGAGAGUUCCUGACGCUGAGGCACGAAGGCCAGGGGAGCAAACGGG